GGUGGUUCUCGAGUGACACACCCUGGAAUUGGGUUCCCUCCUCUCUGGUUUUGGAUAGUCACCCAAGAACCACA
rfam:Myotis davidii contig207922, whole genome shotgun sequence.